AGAGUUUGAUCAUGGCUCAGAUUGAACGCUGGCGGCAUGGCUAAAACAUGCAAGUCGAACGCGAAAGGGGGCAACCCCAAGUAGAGUGGCGAAAGGGCGAGGAAUAGAUUUCUACGUACCCCAAGGUCGAGGACAAUCAGGGGAAACUCUGACUAAUACUCGAUAAUGUGGUGACACCAAAGGCUUGCUGCCUUGGGAGCGGGGAAUCUCCUAUCAGGUAGUUGGUGAGGUAAUGGCUCACCAAGCCAAAGACGGGUAGCGGGUGUGAGAGCACGGCCCGCCGCAUCGGGACUGAGACACUGCCCGGACUCCUACGGGAGGCUGCAGUAACGAAUCUUCCGCAAUGCGCGAAAGCGUGACGGGGCAAUGCCGCGUGCAGGAUGAAGCCCCUCGGGGUGUAAACUGCUGUCAGGGUCUACCAACACAAUGAGGAAACCCAAAGGAAGCACCGGCUAACUCUGUGCCAGCCGCCGCGGUAAUAC
rnacentral:rRNA from 1 species